UCAGACGAUGCGUCAUGCAUAUCAAUAAGCGGAGGAAAAGAAACUAACAAGGACUCCCCUAGUAACGGCGAGUGAAGCGGGAAGAGCUCAAAUUUGAAAUCUUAAAGGGUUUCCCUUUACGAAUUGUAGUUUAAAGAAGUGUUUUCUGUUGAGGUUUUGGUAAAAGUUCUUUGGAAUAGGACAUCAUAGAGGGUGAGAAUCCCGUAUUUGACCUUUACUUUCAACUUUGUGAUACACUUUCAAAGAGUCGGAUUGUUUGGGAAUGCAGUCCAAAAUGGGUGGUAAAUUUCAUCUAAAGCUAAAUAUUGGCGAGAGACCGAUAGCGAACAAGUACCGUGAGGGAAAGAUGAAAAGAACUUUGAAAAGAGAGUUAAACAGUACGUGAAAUUGUCAAAAGGGAAGCGUUUGACACCAGUGUUGUUUUUCUGAAAAUCAAUUAAAGAACUGUUUAUGCUAAGUUGUUUAGACUUUAUCAGCUAACUGUUUAGUUUUGAGCUUUUCUUUAAUGCACUUUUCAGUUAACAAGUCAACAUCAAUUUCUUUUGCCGUAAAAAAGCUUGAGGAAGGUGGCUUGAGAUUCGUCUUAAGUGUUUAUAGCCUCUUGCCUAUGCAGUCGGAGAGAUUGAGGUCUGCAGCGUAGAUCCUUCGGGGCUAAAUGCAUUUGUGCUAAGUUAUAGCAUUUUAUAGACAACUUGUUGACUAUGAUUUGUCUUGUAGCUUACUCGCUUAUGUUAUUUUACCUACGCUUAGGAUGUUGAGCGCAUGUCUCUCUC
rnacentral:rRNA from 1 species